CUUAUAACUUUUUAUUUUUGUCCCCACUGGCCUCCAAGUUUUCUAGGAUGAUGCAAUGUCCAGCCAUCAACACAUUUGUGAAGGAAUUUUUACUCGGCAAAAGAGCGCCCCCCCAUGGCAGGAGAAAAAAGUCAAUUUUUUCUUGUCCACUAAGGUGAAAAUACACAUUGUUGAGUGCUACGCCUGUAUGUUUUGUCGUAUUGACACAAAAUUUUACAUACACGUGUAUUUCAAUAAGAUCUUCGAAAAAGUCAGUGGCCACGUAUCUGUAAAAUGUACAGUUAAAGGGUUAUUUCGCAUUUUUUGCAGAUUCGCACACAUUGGAAUUUCGCUAAUUCCUCCGAAGGCUUUCGUUCCACCGGCACCACAUUUGCUCAGGCCAAUCUACACCCCAUGGCCAUUAAAAGUUAUUCAAAUCAUGACGCUGCACCCCACGGUUUAGGUUCUAGGGGGCGCCAAAUAUAACCCUAAAAUCCACAUAUUUAAAAGUCUUAUAACUUUUUAUUUUUGUCCUCACUGGCCUCCAUGUUUUCUAGGAUGAUGCAAUGUCCAGCCAUCAACACAUUUGUGAAGGAGUUUUUUCUCUUUAAAAGAGCGCCCCCCAUGGCAGGAGAAUAAAGUCAAGUUUUUCCUGUUCAUCAUUCAAUGGCUCAAACGCACUGCUCUCUCGGCAAAAGCGAAAGGAGGAGCAACUUGCCAUUUGGAUAUAUCUUAGCUGUGUUUGUGCCCUCACUCAUGGUCCAGACUUUUUUCAAAUAGGACAUGGAGUUUUUCUGCAGCGAGCGUUUUGGUAGAAACUGCGCCUCCCGUUCAUUAUAAUGGUAAAUGACCACAAACAAGUGUGCACACCAUCUUUGGACCUUGAGUGUGACGCGAUCGGGUGGGGGAGGCGGUCGCGCUGGGGGCGGCGUGACACGGCUCGGGCCCGCCAGUGCCCCAACGGGGCCCUAGUUUCUUUCUUUCUUCUUUUUCCUCCCCUUUGAACUGGAAAAUGGCCCACUUCCCACUGGCGAAAACUCAUGAAAUUUGGCAGGAUGACCGGGCCUGGUGAAAAAUUUGAUAUUCCGAAGUCGCCCAAACAAGAAAAUGCAAAAUGGCUCCAUAGCGCCCCCUAAGGUGAAAAUUCACACUAUUGACGGUCACGCCUUUACGCUUUGUCAUAUUGACACAAAAAUUGACACACACAUGUAUCUCAAUAAGAUCUACAAAAAAGUCAGUGCGGGCAUAUCUGUCAAAUGUACGGUUAAAGGGUUAUUCCGCAUUUUUUGCCGAUCCGCACACAUUGGAAUUUCGCUAACUCCUCCGAAGGCUUUCGUUCCACCGGCACCACAUUUGCUCAGGCCAAUCUACACCCCAUGGCCAUUAAAAGUUAUUCAAAUCAUGACGCUGCACCCCACGGUUUAGGUUCUAGGGGGCGCCAAAGAUAACCCUAAAAUCCACAUAUUUAAAAGUCUUAUAACUUUUUAUUUUUGCCCUCACUGGCCUCCAAGUUUUCUAGGAUGAUGCAAUGUCCAGCCAUCAACACAUUUGUGAAGGAAUUUUUAAUCCCCAAAAGAGCGCCCCCCCAUGGCAGGAGAAAAAAGUCCAUUUUUUCUUGUCCCCUAAGGUGAAAAUACACAUUGUUGAGUGUCACGCCUGUACGCUUUGUCAUAUUGACACAAAAUUUGACACACACAUGUAUCUCAAUAAGAUCUACGAAAAAGUCAAUGCGCGCGUAUCUGUCAAAUGUACGGUUAAAGGGUUAUUCCGCAUUUUUUGCUGAUCCGCACACAUUGGAAUUUCGCUAACUCCUCCUAAGGCUGGCGUUCCACCGGCACCACAUUUGCUCAGGCCAAUCUACACCCCAUGGCCAUUAAAAGUUAUUCAAAUCAUGACGCUAGACCCCACGGUUUAGGUUCUAGGGGGCGCCAAAGAUAACCCUAAAAUCCACAUAUUUCAAAGUCUUAUAACUUUUUAUUUUUGCCCUCACUGGCCUCCAAAUUUUCUAGGAUGAUGCAAUGUCCAGCCAUCAACACAUUUGUGAAGGAAUUUUUAAUCCCCAAAAGAGCGCCCCCCCAUGGCAGGAGAAAAAAGUCCAUUUUUUCUUGUCCCAUAAGAUGAAAAAACACAUUGUUGACUGUCAUACCUGUACGCUUUGUCAUAUUGACACAAAAUUUGACAAUCACAUGUAUCUCAAUAAGAUCUACGAAAAAGUCAAUGCGCGCGUAUCUGUAAAAUGUACGGUUAAAGGGCUAUUUUGCAUUUUUUGCCGAUUCGCACACAUUGGAAUGUGGCUAACUCCUCCUAAGGCUUUCGUCCCACUGACACCAAAUUUGCUCAGGCCAAUCUACACCCCAUGGCCAUUCAAAGUUGUAAAAAUCAUGACGCUGCACCCCACGGUUUACGUUCUAGGGGGCGCCAAAGAUGACCCAAAUAUCCACAUUCUUAAAAGAAUCCACAUCCCCCAUCCCCCAACCCCCAUGGCAGGAGAAACAGUCAAGUUUUUCCUGCCCAUCACUCAAUGGCUCAAUCGCAUCACUCUCCCGGCAACACCGUAACGAGGAGCAACUUGCCGUUUGGAUAUAUCCUAGCUGUGUUUGUGCCCUCACUCAUGGUCCAGACUUUUUUCAAAUAGGACAUGUAGUUUGUCUGCAGCGAGUGUUUUGGUAGAAACUGCGCCUCCCAUUCAUUAUAAUGGGAAAUGACCACAGACAAGUGCGCACACCAUCUUUGGACCUUGAGUGUGACGCGAUCGGGAGGGGGAGGCGGUCGCGCUGGGGGCGGCGCAACGCGGCUCGGGCCCGACAGUGCCCCACCGGGGCCCUAGUUAGGGCCCGAGCGUAGCUGCUAAGCAGCUGCGAGAGCCCUCUUGUUCCUGUAGUUUCCUUCUUUUUAGGGCCCGAGCGUAGCUGCUAAGCAGCUGCGAGAGCCCUCUUGUUCCUGUAGUUUCCUUCUUUUUAGGGCCCGAGCGUAGCUGCUAAGCAGCUGCGAGAGCCCUAUUAUUCCCCAAGGGGUUUUUUAGGGCCCGAGCCAGCUGCAGAGCAGCCGGGCGUAGGCCCUAUUAUUCCCCAAGUGGUUUUUUAGGGCCCGAGCGUAGCUGCUAAGCAGCUGCGAGAGCCCUAUUAUUCCCCAAGUGGUUUUUCUUUGUUUCUUUUUAGGGCCCGAGCCAGCUGCAGAGCAGCCGGGCGUAGGCCCUAUUAUUCCCCAAGUGGUUUUUCUUUGUUUCUUUCUUUCUUUCUUUCUUUCUUCUUUUUCCUCCCCUUUGAACUGGAAAAUGGCCCACUUCCCACUGGCGAAAACUCAUGAAAUUUGGCAGGACGACCGGGCCUGGUGAAAAAUUCGAUAUUCUGAAGUCACCCAAACAAUAAAAUGCAAAAUGGCUCCAUAGCGCCCCCUAAGGUGGAAAUUCACACUAUUGACUGUCACGCCUGUACGCUUUGUCAUAUUGACACAAAAAUUGACACACAUAUGUAUCUCAAUAAGAUCUACAAAAAAGUCAGUGCGGCCGUAUCUGUCAAAAUUACGGUUAAAGGGUUAUUUCGCAUUUUUUUCCGAUCCGCACACAUUGGAAUUUCGCUAACUCCUCCGAAGGCUUUCGUUCCACCGGCACCACAUUUGCUCAGGCCAAUCUACACCCCGUGGCCAUUAAAAGUUAUCAAAAUCAUGACGCUGCACCCCAAGGUUUAGGUUCUAGGGGGCGCCAAAGAUAACACUAAAAUCCACAUAUUUAAAAGUCUUAUAACUUUUUAUUUUUGUCCUCACUGGCCUCCAAGUUUUCUAGGAUGAUGCAAUGUCCAGCCAUCAACACAUUUGUGAAGGAAUUUUUACUCCCCAAAAGAGCGCCCCCCCAUGGCAGGAGAAAAAAGUCCAAUUUUUCUUGUCCCCUAAGGUGAAAAUACACAUUGUUCAGUGUCACGCCUACACGCUUUGUCAAAAUGACACAAAAAUUGACACACACAUGUAACUCAAUAAGAUCUACGAAAAAGUCAAUGCGCGCGUAUCUGUCAAAUGUACGGUUAAAGGGUUAUCUCGCAUUUUUUGCCGAUCCGCACACAUUGGAAUUUCGCUAACUCCUCCGAAGGCUUUCGUUCCACCGGCACCACAUUUGCUCAGGCCAAUCUACACCCCGUGGCCAUUAAAAGUUAUCAAAAUCAUGACGCUGCACCCCAAGGUUUAGGUUCUAGGGGGCGCCAAAGAUAACACUAAAAUCCACAUAUUUAAAAGUCUUAUAACUUUUUAUUUUUGUCCUCACUGGCCUCCAAGUUUUCUAGGAUGAUGCAAUGUCCAGCCAUCAACACAUUUGUGAAGGAAUUUUUACUCCCCAAAAGAGCGCCCCCCCAUGGCAGGAGAAAAAAGUCCAUUUUUUCUUGUCCCCUAAGGUGAAAAUACACAUUGUUGAGUGUCACGCCUAUACGCUUUGUCAAAAUGACACAAAAAUUGACACACACAUGUAACUCAAUAAGAUCUACGAAAAAGUCAAUGCGCGCGUAUCUGUCAAAUGUAUGGUUAAAGGGUUUUUUCGCAUUUUUUGCCGAUCCGCACACAUUGGAAUGUGGCUAACUCCUCCUAAGGCUUUCAUUCCACCGGCACCACAUUUGCUCAGGCCAAUCUACACCCCAUGGCCAUUAAAAGUUAUUCAAAUCAUGACGCUGCACCCCACGGUUUAGGUUCUAGGGGGCGCCAAAGAUAACCCUAAAAUCCACAUAUUUAAAAGUUUUAUAACUUUUUAUUUUUGUCCUCACUGGCCUCCAAGUUUUCUAGGAUGAUGCAAUGUCCAGCCAUCAACACAUUUGUGAAGGAAUUUUUACUCCCCAAAAGAGCGCCCCCCCAUGGCAGGAGAAAAAAGUCAAUUUUUUCUUGUCCCCUAAGGUGAAAAUACAUAUUGUUGAGAUUCACGCCUAUACGCUUUGUCAUAUUGACACAAAAUUUGACAAUCACGUGCCUUGCCUGGUAUCAUUUUUUUCAGCACAACCUCACCUGUGCGAAUUUACAGUUAUUUUAUCAUGUUGACAUACUGAAUUUACACAAUGGACCCAAAUUCACACACAAAACAUAAAAUCCGAGUGGAAAAAGUAACAUUUUUACUGUGAAAACCACAAAUAUGUGUGAUGAACUGUUUUUAAAACUUAAACUUCAAAUAAAAAUUGUAAACUUCAAAACAUAUGCAAAUUUUUAACAAAGAACAUAGUGAUUUACCUCUAUUUACAUCAAAAUGCAGGCAAUGGCCCAGGCGUUCUUUGUAAAAUUAUUUACAAAACACUGUAUAGUCUCACAAAUGUCACUUUUUAUUUAUGCCACUACAAAAAAACAUGAUGUAAAUGAUGCAUGAUGUAAAACAUGAUGUAAAAAACUUGUGUAGAUCCUCCUCUAUGUCAGUCCAUGUGUAAUUUUUCCAUAAUUCUUUGUUUUUUGCAGCAUUUUUGUUAGUGUAACUGCAGAUUGUGCUGACAGUGUCUAUGGCACAAAAAAAAAAAAAAUUUAAAAUGCCUCAACAUGAACCCCUGGUGGUCUCUGAGGGUGAAACCUGCUAACUGCUGCAGCUCUGUCAGCUUCAGUCUCCCAUGCAGAGCUCUGAGCGCAUGUGUGGCUCUGCACCCUUAGCAGCGUUGCUAACUCCUCAGUAAGGAAAGCCUGCUUCAUGUCAGAGUCUCUAAACUCCAGAAGAAGUCGAUAAAAGUCCCUUUCUUUCUAAAAAAAAGUCGUUAGGGGGUCUGAAAAGUCAUUGAAUCUAACAACAAAGUCGCUAGGUUUGCAACUACGUGUCCCAGACUGCAUCCCUGCUGAGAGUCCCUCCCUCGCUUCUCAUGUUGCAGGAAGAACGUAAGCACCCGCCCCUUGUCAAUCAGUCACCAUAUAAUUUUGGAUUGGUUGUUGUGGUGAAGUUUUCCACCAAUAGGAGAGAUGUUGUGGUGUGUUUUUUUCUUUUGGCAAGCCUUUUCCGCCUGUAAGACCUGUCGCUAAUGUCUGCAUGCUAUGUUUUCCUGUCUCAUACAGCGCGAUCGAGCGCCGAACGUGAUCAAAAUAAGCAGAAAAAAAGUAUCGCGGACAUAAUUUAUCAUAACUCUGGUUUUAUUUGGCCUAUCAACACAAUUUAAAAACUGGUAUAUAGGUUGAGGUCCUCACUUUUGAGAUAAGUUGAAACGGAGAGUCAACGAGGCUCCGUCUUGCAGCUACAUCCGGUUAAAUAUGUCAUGUGACUUGAACGCACACACAGACACACACACACGCACACACACACACACACACACACACACACACACACACACACACACACACACACACACUCAGAGUCUGGUUUUUAGCACCUGCAAAAACAUGCUAUUUACAUAUUUGACAAGAAUGCAGAGGCUCCUUUUGCCCCUGAAAAAAAUCAAAUUUCAAACACAACUUGACUGCUCAAUUCUCCAAAAGACAACCAUGAAGCUCCAUCCAAACCUGAAGCAGGCAGUUGGUGCAUGUGUACAGUAACCUGAGGGGAGUGAGGUGAGUGCUUCUGAGGAGAACAUGAGCAGUGAAGAUUCACCUUGGAGCUAGAACAGAGACAUGCACAUGAUUAUACAGGGGCAGGGGCUCAAGUUUUUUCCAGUCGUUUAUACAAUAUGGAAAUUAAUGUGAAAUUAAAACACAAAGUAUUAAUAGAAAGGUUAUGACUGUCCUGUGUAGGUGACAGUGAUAUCCAAUAGGCUAGGCACUCACGAGGCUGGCUGUGGCAAGUGUAAGUGAAAGCAACACGCACUGGCAAGAAGAACAGCAAACGCCGAUGAAGGAAAAGGGUCUUUGCAGUGAUGGGCGUUACCAGAGAGGGCGAUGGCCAGAGGACACAAAUGGGACGGGGAGGCAGCACGUUGGGGGGGGACGCGACACGGCUCGGGCCCGCCAGUGCCCCAACGGGGUCCUAGUUUCUUUUUUCUCCCCUUUGAACUGGAAAAUGGCCCACUUCCCACUGGCGAAAACUCAUGAAAUUUGGCAGGACGACCGGGCCUGGUGAAAAAUUUGAUAUUCUGAAGUCGCCCAAACAAUACAAUGCAAAAUGGCUCCAUAGCGCCCCCUAAGGUGAAAAAUUCACCUGACGCCUGUACGCUUUGUCAAAAUGACACAAAAAUUGACACACACAUGUAUCUCAAUAAGAUCUACAAAAAAGUCAGUGCGGGCGUAUCUGUCAAAUGUACGGUUAAAGGGUUAUUGCGCAUUUUUUGCCGAUCCGCACACAUUGGAAUUUCGCUAACUCCUCCGAAGGCUUUCGUUCCACCGGCACCACAUUUGCUCAGGCCAAUCUACACCCCAUGGCCAUAAAAAGUUAUUCAAAUCAUGACGCUGCACCCCACGGUUUAGGUUCUAGGGGGCGCCAAAGAUAACCCUAAAAUCCACAUAUUUCAAAGUCUUAUAACUUUUUAUUUUUGUCCUCACUGGCCUCCAAGUUUUCUAGGAUGAUGCAAUGUCCAGCCAUCAACACAUUUGUGAAGGAAUUUUUACUCCCCAAAAGAGCGCCCCCCAUGGCAGGAGAAAAAAGUCCAUUUUUUCUUGUCCCCUAAGGUGAAAAUACACAUUGUUGAGUGUCACGCCUAUACGCUUUGUCAAAAUGACACAAAAUUUGACACACACAUGUAACUCAAUAAGAUCUACAAAAAAGUCAAUGCGCGCGUAUCUGUCAAAUGUACAGUUAAAGGGUUAUUCCGCAUUUUUUGCCGAUACGCACACAUUGGAAUUUCGCUAACUCCUCCGAAGGCUUUCGUUCCACCGGCACCACAUUUGCUCAGGCCAAUCUACACCCCAUGGCCAUUAAAAGUUAUUCAAAUCAUGAUGCUGCACCCCAUGGUUUAGGUUCUAGGGGGCGCCAAAAAUAACCCAAAAAUCCACAUUCUUAAAUGUUUUAUAACUUUUUAUUUUUGUCCUCACUGGCCUCCAAGUUUUCUAGGAUGAUGCAAUGUCCAGCCAUCAACACAUUUGUGAAGGAAUUUUUACUCCCCAAAAGAGCGCCCCCCAUGGUAGGAGAAAAAAGUCAAUUUUUUCUUGUCCCCUUACAUGAAAAUACACAUUGUUGAGUGUCACGCCUGAACGCUUUGUCAUAUUGACACAAAAAUUGACAAUCAUGUGUAUCUCAAUUAGAUCUACGAAAAAGUCAAAGAGCGCGUAUCUGUAUAAUGUACGGUUAAAGGGCUAUUUUGCAUUUUUGCGGAUUCGCACACAUUGGAAUGUGGCUAUCUCCUCCUAAGGCUUUCGUCCCACCGAUACCAAAUUUGCUCAGGGCAAUCUACACCCCAUGCCCAUUCAAAGUUGUAAAAAUCAUGACGCUGCACCCCACGGUUUACGUUCUAGGGGGCGCCAAAGAUGACCCAAAAAUCCACAUUCUUAAAAGUCAUUUUGGCCACUGCAGGAGUACAGAGUACUGCAGUUCUAGGGGGCGCCAAAGAUGACCCAAAAAUCCACAUUCUUAAAAGUCUUUUUGGCCACUGCAGGAGUACAGAGUACUGCAGGAUACACACACAUAUACACACACGCCAACAUACACACACACACACACACACACAGACACACACACACACUCAGAGUCUGUUUUUUAGCACCUGCAAAAACAUGCUGUUUACAUAUUUGACAAGAAUGCAGAGGCUUCCUUUUGCCCCUGAAAAAAAUCAAAUUUCAAACACAACUUGACUGUUCAUUUCUCCAAAAGACAACCAUGAAGCUCCAUUUCAAACCUGAAGCAGAUAGUUGGUGCAUGUGUACAGUAACCUGAGGGGAGUGAGGUGACUAUUUCUGAGGAGAACAUGAGCAGUGAAGAUUCACCUUGGAGCUAGAACAGGGACGUGCACAUGAUUAUACAGGGGCAGGGGCUCAAGUUUUUUCCAGUCAUUUAUACAAUAUGGAAAUUAAUGUGAAAUUAAACCACAAAUAUGUGUGAUGAACUGUUUUUAAAACUUAAACUUCAAAUAAAAAUUGUAAACUUCAAAACAUAUGCAAAUUUUUAACAAAGAACAUAGUAAUUUACCUCUAUUUACAUCAAAAUGCAGGCAAUGGCCCAGGCGUUCUUUGUAAAAUUAUUUACAAAACACUGUAUAGUCUCACAAAUGUCACUUUUUAUUUAUGCCACUACAAAAAAACAUGAUGUAAAUGAUGCAUGAUGUAAAACAUGAUGUAAAAAACUUGUGUAGAUCCUCCUCUAUGUCAGUCCAUGUGUAAUUUUUCCAUAAUUCUUUGUUUUUUGCAGCAUUUUUGUUAGUGUAACUGCAGAUUGUGCUGACAGUGUCUAUGGCACAAAAAAAAAAAAAAAAUUAAAAUGCCUCAACAUGAACCCCUGGUGGUCUCUGAGGGUGAAACCUGCUAACUGCUGCAGCUCUGUCAGCUUCAGUCUCCCAUGCAGAGCUCUGAGCGCAUGUGUGGCUCUGCACCCUUAGCAGCGUUGCUAACUCCUCAGUAAGGAAAGCCUGCUUCAUGUCAGAGUCUCUAAACUCCAGAAGAAGUCGAUAAAAGUCCCUUUCUUUCUAAAAAAAGUCGUUAGGGGGUCUGAAAAGUCAUUGAAUCUAACAACAAAGUCGCUAGGUUUGCAACUACGUGUCCCAGACUGCAUCCCUGCUGAGAGUCCCUCCCUCCCUUCUCAUGUUGCAGGAAGAACGUAAGCGCCCGCCCCUUGUCAAUCAGUCACCAUAUAAUUUUGGAUUGGUUGUUGUGGUGAAGUUUUCCACCAAUAGGAGAGAUGUUGUGGUGUGUUUUUUUUUUCUUUUGGCAAGCCUUUUCCGCCUGUAAGACCUAUCGCUAAUGUCUGCAUGCUAUGUUUUCCUGUCUCAUACAGCGCGAUCGAGCGCCGAACGUGAUCAAAAUAAGCAGAAAACAAGUAUCGCGGACAUAAUUUAUCAUAACUCUGGUUUUAUUUGGCCUAUCAACACAAUUUAAAAACUGGUAUAUAGGUUGAGGUCCUCACUUUUGAGAUAAGUUGAAACGGAGAGUCAACAAGGCUCCGUCUUGCAGCUACAUCCGGUUAAAUAUGUCAUGUGACUUGAACGCACACACAGACACACACACACGCACACACACACACACACACACACACACACACACUCAGAGUCUGGUUUUUAGCACCUGCAAAAACAUGCUAUUUACAUAUUUGACAAGAAUGCAGAGGCUCCUUUUGCCCCUGAAAAAAAUCAAAUUUCAAACACAACUUGACUGGUCAUUUCUCCAAAAGACAACCAUGAAGCUCCAUCCAAACCUGAAGCAGGCAGUUGGUGCAUGUGUACAGUAACCUGAGGGGAGUGAGGUGAGUGCUUCUGAGGAGAACAUGAGCAGUGAAGAUUCACCUUGGAGCUAGAACAGAGACAUGCACAUGAUUAUACAGGGGCAGGGGCUCAAGUUUUUUCCAGUCGUUUAUACAAUAUGGAAAUUAAUGUGAAAUUAAAACACAAAGUAUUAAUAGAAAGGUAAUGACUGUCCUGUGUAGGUGACAGUGAUAUCCAAUAGGCUAGGCACUCACGAGGCUGGCUGUGGCAAGUGUAAGUGAAAGCAACACACACUGGCAGGAAGAACAGCAAACGCCGAUUAAGGAAAAGGGUCUUUGCAGUGAUGGGUGUUAACAGAGAGGGCGAUGGCCAGAGGACACAAAUGGGACGGGGAGGCAGCACGUUGGGGGGGGGGGACGCGACACGGCUCGGGCCCGCCAGUGCCCCAACGGGGUCCUAGUCUUUGUUUCUUUCUUUAGGGCCCGAGCGUAGCUGCUAAGCAGCUGCGAGAGCCCUCUUGUUCCUGCAUGUUUCCUUCUUUCGUUAUUAUUUUUCCUCCGCUUUAAACUGGAAAAUGGCCCACUUCCCACUGGCGAAAACUCAGGAAAUUUGGCAGGACGACCGGGCCUGGUGAAAAAUUCGAUAUUCUGAAGUCGCCCAAACAAUAAAAUGCAAAAUGGCUCCAUAGCGCCCCCUAAGGUGAAAAUUCACAUGACGGCUGUACGCUUUGUCAUAUUGACACAAAAAUUGACACACACAUGUAUCUCAAUAAGAUCUACAAAAAAGUCAGUGCGGGCGUAUCUGUCAAAUGUACGGUUAAUGGGUUAUUUUGCAUUUUUUGCAGAUCUGCACACAUUGGAAUUUCGCUAACUCCUCCGAAGGCUUUCGUUCGACCGGCACCACAUUUGCGCAGGCCAAUCUACCCCCCAUGGCCAUUAAAAGUUGUACAAAUCAUGACGCUGCACCCCACGGUUUACGUUCUAGGGGGCGCCAAAGAUAACCCAAAAUCCACAUUCUUAAAAGUCUUAUAACUUUUUAUUUUUGUCCUCACUGCCCUCCAAGUUUUCUAGGAUGAUGCAAUGUCCAGCCAUCAACACAUUUGUGAAGGAAUUUUUACUCCCCAAAAGAACGCCCCCCCAUGGCAGGAGAAAAAAGUCAAUUUUUUCUUGUCCCCUUACAUGAAAAUACACAUUGUUGAGUGUCACGCCUGAACGCUUUGUCAUAUUGACACAAAAAUUGACAAUCAUGUGUAUCUCAAUUAGAUCUACGAAAAAGUCAAAAGCGCGUAUCUGUAUAAUGUACGGUUAAAGGGCUAUUUCGCAUUUUUUGCCGAUUCGCACACAUUGGAAUGUGGCUAUCUCCUCCUAAGGCUUUCGUCCCACCGAUACCAAAUUUGCUCAGGGCAAUCUACACCCCAUGCCCAUUCAAAGUUGUAAAAAUCAUGACGCUGCACCCCACGGUUUACGUUCUAGGGGACGCCAAAGAUGACCCAAAGAUCCACAUUCUUAAAAGUCAUUUUGGCCACUGCAGGAGUACAGAGUACUGCAGUUCUAGGGGGCGCCAAAGAUGACCCAAAAAUCCACAUUCUUAAAAGUCUUUUUGGCCACUGCAGGAGUACAGAGUACUGCAGGAUACACACACAUAUACACACACACACACACACACACACACACACACACACACACACACACACACUCAGAGUCUGUUUUUUAGCACCUGCAAAAACAUGCUGUUUACAUAUUUGACAAGAAUGCAGAGGCUUCCUUUUGCCCCUGAAAAAAAUCAGAUUUCAAACACAACUUGACUGUUCAUUUCUCCAAAAGACAACCAUGAAGCUCCAUCCAAACCUGAAGCAGAUAGUUGGUGCAUGUGUACAGUAACCUGAGGGGAGUGAGGUGACUAUUUCUGAGGAGAACAUGAGCAGUGAAGAUUCACCUUGGAGCUAGAACAGGGACGUGCACAUGAUUAUACAGGGGCAGGGGCUCAAGUUUUUUCCAGUCAUUUAUACAAUAUGGAAAUUAAUGUGAAAUUAAACCACAAAUAUGUGUGAUGAACUGUUUUUAAAACUUAAACUUCAAAUAAAAAUUGUAAACUUCAAAACAUAUGCAAAUUUUUAACAAAGAACAUAGUAAUUUACCUCUAUUUACAUCAAAAUGCAGGCAAUGGCCCAGGCGUUCUUUGUAAAAUUAUUUACAAAACACUGUAUAGUCUCACAAAUGUCACUUUUUAUUUAUGCCACUACAAAAAAACAUGAUGUAAAUGAUGCAUGAUGUAAAACAUGAUGUAAAAAACUUGUGUAGAUCCUCCUCUAUGUCAGUCCAUGUGUAAUUUUUCCAUAAUUCUUUGUUUUUUGCAGCAUUUUUGUUAGUGUAACUGCAGAUUGUGCUGACAGUGUCUAUGGCACAAAAAAAAAAAAAAUUUAAAAUGCCUCAACAUGAACCCCUGGUGGUCUCUGAGGGUGAAACCUGCUAACUGCUGCAGCUCUGUCAGCUUCAGUCUCCCAUGCAGAGCUCUGAGCGCAUGUGUGGCUCUGCACCCUUAGCAGCGUUGCUAACUCCUCAGUAAGGAAAGCCUGCUUCAUGUCAGAGUCUCUAAACUCCAGAAGAAGUCGAUAAAAGUCACUUUCUUUCUAAAAAAAAGUCGUUAGGGGGUCUGAAAAGUCAUUGAAUCUAACAACAAAGUCGCUAGGUUUGCAACUACGUGUCCCAGACUGCAUCCCUGCUGAGAGUCCCUCCCUCGCUUCUCAUGUUGCAGGAAGAACGUAAGCGCCCUCCCCUUGUCAAUCAGUCACCAUAUAAUUUUGGAUUGGUUGUUGUGGUGAAGUUUUCCACCAAUAGGAGAGAUGUUGUGGUGUGUUUUUUUUUUCUUUUGGCAAGCCUUUUCCGCCUGUAAGACCUGUCGCUAAUGUCUGCAUGCUAUGUUUUCCUGUCUCAUACAGCGCGAUCGAGCGCCGAACGUGAUCAAAAUAAGCAGAAAAAAAGUAUCGCGGACAUAAUUUAUCAUAACUCUGGUUUUAUUUGGCCUAUCAACACAAUUUAAAAACUGGUAUAUAGGUUGAGGUCCUCACUUUUGAGAUAAGUUGAAACGGAGAGUCAACGAGGCUCCGUCUUGCAGCUACAUCCGGUUAAAUAUGUCAUGUGACUUGAAUGCACACACAGACACACACACACACACGCACACACACACACACACACUCAGAGUCUGGUUUUUAGCACCUGCAAAAACAUGCUAUUUACAUAUUUGACAAGAAUGCAGAGGCUCCUUUUGCCCCUGAAAAAAAUCAAAUUUCAAACACAACUUGACUGGUCAUUUCUCCAAAAGACAACCAUGAAGCUCCAUCCAAACCUGAAGCAGGCAGUUGGUGCAUGUGUACAGUAACCUGAGGGGAGUGAGGUGAGUGCUUCUGAGGAGAACAUGAGCUGUGAAGAUUCACCUUGGAGCUAGAACAGAGACAUGCACAUGAUUAUACAGGGGCAGGGGCUCAAGUUUUUUCCAGUCGUUUAUACAAUAUGGAAAUUAAUGUGAAAUUAAAACACAAAGUAUUAAUAGAAAGGUAAUGACUUUCCUGUGUAGGUGACAGUGAUAUCCAAUAGGCUAGGCACUCACGAGGCUGGCUGUGGCAAGUGUAAGUGAAAGCAACACGCACUGGCAAGAAGAACAGCAAACGCCGAUGAAGGAAAAGGGUCUUUGCAGUGAUGGGCGUUACCAGAGAGGGCGAUGGCCAGAGGACACAAAUGGGACGGGGAGGCAGCACGUUGGGGGGGGGACGCGACACGGCUCGGGCCCGCCAGUGCCCCAACGGGGUCCUAGUUGUUUCUUUCUUAGGGCCCGAGCGUAGCUGCUAAGCAGCUGCGAGAGCCCUAUUAUUCCCCAAGUGGUUUUUCUUUGUUUCUUUCUUUCUUCUUUUUCCUCCCCUUUGAACUGGAAAAUGGCCCACUUCCCACUGGCGAAAACUCAUGAAAUUUGGCAGGAUGACCGGGCCUGGUGAAAAAUUUGAUAUUCCGAAGUCGCCCAAACAAGAAAAUGCAAAAUGGCUCCAUAGCGCCCCCUAAGGUGAAAAUUCACACUAUUGACGGUCACGCCUUUACGCUUUGUCAUAUUGACACAAAAAUUGACACACACAUGUAUCUCAAUAAGAUCUACAAAAAAGUCAGUGCGGGCAUAUCUGUCAAAUGUACGGUUAAAGGGUUAUUCCGCAUUUUUUGCCGAUCCGCACACAUUGGAAUUUCGCUAACUCCUCCGAAGGCUUUCGUUCCACCGGCACCACAUUUGCUCAGGCCAAUCUACACCCCAUGGCCAUUAAAAGUUAUUCAAAUCAUGACGCUGCACCCCACGGUUUAGGUUCUAGGGGGCGCCAAAGAUAACCCUAAAAUCCACAUAUUUAAAAGUCUUAUAACUUUUUAUUUUUGCCCUCACUGGCCUCCAAGUUUUCUAGGAUGAUGCAAUGUCCAGCCAUCAACACAUUUGUGAAGGAAUUUUUAAUCCCCAAAAGAGCGCCCCCCCAUGGCAGGAGAAAAAAGUCCAUUUUUUCUUGUCCCCUAAGGUGAAAAUACACAUUGUUGAGUGUCACGCCUGUACGCUUUGUCAUAUUGACACAAAAUUUGACACACACAUGUAUCUCAAUAAGAUCUACGAAAAAGUCAAUGCGCGCGUAUCUGUCAAAUGUACGGUUAAAGGGUUAUUCCGCAUUUUUUGCUGAUCCGCACACAUUGGAAUUUCGCUAACUCCUCCUAAGGCUGGCGUUCCACCGGCACCACAUUUGCUCAGGCCAAUCUACACCCCAUGGCCAUUAAAAGUUAUUCAAAUCAUGACGCUAGACCCCACGGUUUAGGUUCUAGGGGGCGCCAAAGAUAACCCUAAAAUCCACAUAUUUCAAAGUCUUAUAACUUUUUAUUUUUGCCCUCACUGGCCUCCAAAUUUUCUAGGAUGAUGCAAUGUCCAGCCAUCAACACAUUUGUGAAGGAAUUUUUAAUCCCCAAAAGAGCGCCCCCCCAUGGCAGGAGAAAAAAGUCCAUUUUUUCUUGUCCCAUAAGAUGAAAAAACACAUUGUUGACUGUCAUACCUGUACGCUUUGUCAUAUUGACACAAAAUUUGACAAUCACAUGUAUCUCAAUAAGAUCUACGAAAAAGUCAAUGCGCGCGUAUCUGUAAAAUGUACGGUUAAAGGGCUAUUUUGCAUUUUUUGCCGAUUCGCACACAUUGGAAUGUGGCUAACUCCUCCUAAGGCUUUCGUCCCACUGACACCAAAUUUGCUCAGGCCAAUCUACACCCCAUGGCCAUUCAAAGUUGUAAAAAUCAUGACGCUGCACCCCACGGUUUACGUUCUAGGGGGCGCCAAAGAUGACCCAAAUAUCCACAUUCUUAAAAGAAUCCACAUCCCCCCCCCCAUCCCCCAACCCCCAUGGCAGGAGAAACAGUCAAGUUUUUCCUGCCCAUCACUCAAUGGCUCAAUCGCAUCACUCUCCCGGCAACACCGUAACGAGGAGCAACUUGCCGUUUGGAUAUAUCCUAGCUGUGUUUGUGCCCUCACUCAUGGUCCAGACUUUUUUCAAAUAGGACAUGUAGUUUGUCUGCAGCGAGUGUUUUGGUAGAAACUGCGCCUCCCAUUCAUUAUAAUGGGAAAUGACCACAGACAAGUGCGCACACCAUCUUUGGACCUUGAGUGUGACGCGAUCGGGAGGGGGAGGCGGUCGCGCUGGGGGCGGCGCAACGCGGCUCGGGCCCGACAGUGCCCCACCGGGGCCCUAGUUAGGGCCCGAGCGUAGCUGCUAAGCAGCUGCGAGAGCCCUCUUGUUCCUGUAGUUUCCUUCUUUUUAGGGCCCGAGCGUAGCUGCUAAGCAGCUGCGAGAGCCCUCUUGUUCCUGUAGUUUCCUUCUUUUUAGGGCCCGAGCGUAGCUGCUAAGCAGCUGCGAGAGCCCUAUUAUUCCCCAAGGGGUUUUUUAGGGCCCGAGCCAGCUGCAGAGCAGCCGGGCGUAGGCCCUAUUAUUCCCCAAGUGGUUUUUUAGGGCCCGAGCGUAGCUGCUAAGCAGCUGCGAGAGCCCUAUUAUUCCCCAAGUGGUUUUUCUUUGUUUCUUUUUAGGGCCCGAGCGUAGCUGCUAAGCAGCUGCGAGAGCCCUAUUAUUCCCCAAGUGGUUUUUCUUUGUUUCUUUCUUUCUUCUUUUUCCUCCCCUUUGAACUGGAAAAUGGCCCACUUCCCACUGGCGAAAACUCAUGAAAUUUGGCAGGAUGACCGGGCCUGGUGAAAAAUUUGAUAUUCCGAAGUCGCCCAAACAAGAAAAUGCAAAAUGGCUCCAUAGCGCCCCCUAAGGUGAAAAUUCACACUAUUGACGGUCACGCCUUUACGCUUUGUCAUAUUGACACAAAAAUUGACACACACAUGUAUCUCAAUAAGAUCUACAAAAAAGUCAGUGCGGGCAUAUCUGUCAAAUGUACGGUUAAAGGGUUAUUCCGCAUUUUUUGCCGAUCCGCACACAUUGGAAUUUCGCUAACUCCUCCGAAGGCUUUCGUUCCACCGGCACCACAUUUGCUCAGGCCAAUCUACACCCCAUGGCCAUUAAAAGUUAUUCAAAUCAUGACGCUGCACCCCACGGUUUAGGUUCUAGGGGGCGCCAAAGAUAACCCUAAAAUCCACAUAUUUAAAAGUCUUAUAACUUUUUAUUUUUGCCCUCACUGGCCUCCAAGUUUUCUAGGAUGAUGCAAUGUCCAGCCAUCAACACAUUUGUGAAGGAAUUUUUAAUCCCCAAAAGAGCGCCCCCCAUGGCAGGAGAAAAAAGUCCAUUUUUUCUUGUCCCCUAAGGUGAAAAUACACAUUGUUGAGUGUCACGCCUGUACGCUUUGUCAUAUUGACACAAAAUUUGACACACGCAUGUAUCUCAAUAAGAUCUACGAAAAAGUCAAUGCGCGCGUAUCUGUCAAAUGUACGGUUAAAGGGUUAUUCCGCAUUUUUUGCUGAUCCGCACACAUUGGAAUUUCGCUAACUCCUCCUAAGGCUGGCGUUCCACCGGCACCACAUUUGCUCAGGCCAAUCUACACCCCAUGGCCAUUAAAAGUUAUUCAAAUCAUGACGCUAGACCCCACGGUUUAGGUUCUAGGGGGCGCCAAAGAUAACCCUAAAAUCCACAUAUUUCAAAGUCUUAUAACUUUUUAUUUUUGCCCUCACUGGCCUCCAAAUUUUCUAGGAUGAUGCAAUGUCCAGCCAUCAACACAUUUGUGAAGGAAUUUUUAAUCCCCAAAAGAGCGCCCCCCCAUGGCAGGAGAAAAAAGUCCAUUUUUUCUUGUCCCAUAAGAUGAAAAAACACAUUGUUGACUGUCAUACCUGUACGCUUUGUCAUAUUGACACAAAAUUUGACAAUCACAUGUAUCUCAAUAAGAUCUACGAAAAAGUCAAUGCGCGCGUAUCUGUAAAAUGUACGGUUAAAGGGCUAUUUUGCAUUUUUUGCCGAUUCGCACACAUUGGAAUGUGGCUAACUCCUCCUAAGGCUUUCGUCCCACUGACACCAAAUUUGCUCAGGCCAAUCUACACCCCAUGGCCAUUCAAAGUUGUAAAAAUCAUGACGCUGCACCCCACGGUUUACGUUCUAGGGGGCGCCAAAGAUGACCCAAAUAUCCACAUUCUUAAAAGAAUCCACAUCCCCCCCCCAUCCCCCAACCCCCAUGGCAGGAGAAACAGUCAAGUUUUUCCUGCCCAUCACUCAAUGGCUCAAUCGCAUCACUCUCCCGGCAACACCGUAACGAGGAGCAACUUGCCGUUUGGAUAUAUCCUAGCUGUGUUUGUGCCCUCACUCAUGGUCCAGACUUUUUUCAAAUAGGACAUGUAGUUUGUCUGCAGCGAGUGUUUUGGUAGAAACUGCGCCUCCCAUUCAUUAUAAUGGGAAAUGACCACAGACAAGUGCGCACACCAUCUUUGGACCUUGAGUGUGACGCGAUCGGGAGGGGGAGGCGGUCGCGCUGGGGGCGGCGCAACGCGGCUCGGGCCCGACAGUGCCCCACCGGGGCCCUAGUUAGGGCCCGAGCGUAGCUGCUAAGCAGCUGCGAGAGCCCUCUUGUUCCUGCAUGUUUCCUUCUUUUGUUAUUAGGGCCCGAGCCAGCUGCAGAGCAGCCGGGCGUAGGCCCUAUUAUUCCCCAAGUGGUUUUUCUUUGUUUCUUUCUUUCUUUUUAGGGCCCGAGCCAGCUGCAGAGCAGCCGGGCGUAGGCCCUAUUAUUCCCCAAGUGGUUUUUCUUUGUUUCUUUCUUUCUUUUUUCUUUUUCCUCCCCUUUGAACUGGAAAAUGGCCCACUUCCCACUGGCGAAAACUCAUGAAAUUUGGCAGGACGACCGGGCCUGGUGAAAAAUUCGAUAUUCUGAAGUCGCCCAAACAAUAAAAUGCAAAAUGGCUCCAUAGCGCCCCCUAAGGUGGAAAUUCACACUAUUGACUGUCACGCCUGUACGCUUUGUCAUAUUGACACAAAAAUUGACACACAUAUGUAUCUCAAUAAGAUCUACAAAAAAGUCAGUGCGGCCGUAUCUGUCAAAAUUACGGUUAAAGGGUUAUUUCGCAUUUUUUGCCGAUCCGCACACAUUGGAAUUUCGCUAACUCCUCCGAAGGCUUUCGUUCCACCGGCACCACAUUUGCUCAGGCCAAUCUACACCCCGUGGCCAUUAAAAGUUAUCAAAAUCAUGACGCUGCACCCCAAGGUUUAGGUUCUAGGGGGCGCCAAAGAUAACCCUAAAAUCCACAUAUUUAAAAGUCUUAUAACUUUUUAUUUUUGUCCUCACUGGCCUCCAAGUUUUCUAGGAUGAUGCAAUGUCCAGCCAUCAACACAUUUGUGAAGGAAUUUUUACUCCCCAAAAGAGCGCCCCCCCAUGGCAGGAGAAAAAAGUCCAUUUUUUCUUGUCCCCUAAGGUGAAAAUACACAUUGUUGAGUGUCACGCCUAUACGCUUUGUCAAAAUGACACAAAAAUUGACACACACAUGUAACUCAAUAAGAUCUACGAAAAAGUCAAUGCGCGCGUAUCUGUAAAAUGUACGGUUAAAGGGCUAUUUUGCAUUUUUUGCCGAUUCGCACACAUUGGAAUGUGGCUAUCUCCUCCUAAGGCUUUCGUCCCACUGACACCAAAUUUGCUCAGGCCAAUCUACACCCCAUGGCCAUUCAAAGUUGUAAAAAUCAUGACGCUGCACCCCACGGUUUACGUUCUAGGGGGCGCCAAAGAUGACCCAAAUAUCCACAUUCUUAAAAGAAUCCACAUCCCCCCCCAUCCCCCAUCCCCCAUGGCAGGAGAAACAGUCAAGUUUUUCCUGCCCAUCACUCAAUGGCUCAUUCGCAUCACUCUCCCGGCAACACCGUAACGAGGAGCAACUUGCCGUUUGGAUAUAUCCUAGCUGUGUUUGUGCCCUCACUCAUGGUCCAGACUUUUUUCAAAUAGGACAUGUAGUUUGUCUGCAGCGAGUGUUUUGGUAGAAACUGCGCCUCCCAUUCAUUAUAAUGGGAAAUGACCACAGACAAGUGCGCACACCAUCUUUGGACCUUGAGUGUGACGCAAUCGGGAGGGGUAGGCGGUCGCGCUGGGGGCGGCGCAACGCGGCUCGGGCCCGACAGUGCCCCACCGGGGUCCUAGUUUCUUUUUCCUCCCCUUUGAACUGGAAAAUGGCCCACUUCCCACUGGCGAAAACUCAUGAAAUUUGGCAGGACGACCGGGCCUGGUGAAAAAUUUGAUAUUCUGAAGUCGCCCAAACAAUAAAAUGCAAAAUGGCUCCAUAGCGCCCCCUAAGGUGAAAAUUCACACUAUUGACUGUCACGCCUGUACGCUUUGUCAUAUUGACACAAAAAUUGACACACAUAUGUAUCUCAAUAAGAUCUACAAAAAAGUCAGUGCGGCCGUAUCUGUCAAAAUUACGGUUAAAGGGUUAUUUUGCAUUUUUUGCCGAUCCGCACACAUUGGAAUUUCGCUAACUCCUCCGAAGGCUUUCGUUCCACCGGCACCACAUUUGCUCAGGCCAAUCUACACCCCGUGGCCAUUAAAAGUUAUCAAAAUCAUGACGCUGCACCCCAAGGUUUAGGUUCUAGGGGGCGCCAAAGAUAACACUAAAAUCCACAUAUUUAAAAGUCUUAUAACUUUUUAUUUUUGUCCUCACUGGCCUCCAAGUUUUCUAGGAUGAUGCAAUGUCCAGCCAUCAACACAUUUGUGAAGGAAUUUUUACUCCCCAAAAGAGCGCCCCCCCAUGGCAGGAGAAAAAAUUCCAUUUUUUCUUGUCCCCUAAGGUGAAAAUACACAUUGUUGAGUGUCACGCCUAUACGCUUUGUCAAAAUGACACAAAAAUUGACACACACAUGUAACUCAAUAAGAUCUACGAAAAAGUCAAUGCGCCCAUAUCUGUCAAAUGUACGGUUAAAGGGUUAUUCCGCAUUUUUUGCCGAUCCGCACACAUUGGAAUUUCGCUAACUCCUCCUAAGGCUUUCGUUCCACCGGCACCACAUUUGCUCAGGCCAAUCUACACCCCAUGGCCAUUAAAAGUUAUCAAAAUCAUGACGCUGCACCCCACGGUUUAGGUUCUAGGGGGCGCCAAAGAUAACCCUAAAAUCCACAUAUUUAAAAGUCUUAUAACUUUUUAUUUUUGUCCUCACUGGCCUCCAAGUUUUCUAGGAUGAUGCAAUGUCCAGCCAUCAACACAUUUGUGAAGGAAUUUUUACUCCCCAAAAGAGCGCCCCCCCAUGGCAGGAGAAAAAAGUCCAUUUUUUCUUGUCCCCUAAGGUGAAAAUACACAUUGUUGAGUGUCACGCCUAUACGCUUUGUCAAAAUGACACAAAAAUUGACACACACAUGUAACUCAAGAAGAUCUACGAAAAAGUCAAUGCGCGCAUAUCUGUCAAAUGUACGGUUAAAGGGUUAUUCCGCAUUUUUUGCCGAUCCGCACACAUUGGAAUUUCGCUUACUCCUCCUAAGGCUUUCGUUCCACCGGCACCACAUUUUCUCAGGCCAAUCUACACCCCAUGGCCAUUAAAAGUUAUCAAAAUCAUGACGCUGCACCCCACGGUUUAGGUUCUAGGGGGCGCCAAAGAUAACCCUAAAAUCCACAUAUUUAAAAGUCUUAUAACUUUUUAUUUUUGUCCUCACUGGCCUCCAAGUUUUCUAGGAUGAUGCAAUGUCCAGCCAUCAACACAUUUGUGAAGGAAUUUUUACUCCCCAAAAGAGCGCCCCCCCAUGGCAGGAGAAAAAAGUCCAUUUUUUCUUGUCCUCUAAGGUGAAAAUACAUAUUGUUGAGAUUCACGCCUAUACGCUUUGUCAUAUUGACACAACAUUUGACAAUCACGUGCCUUGCCUGGUAUCAUUUUUUUCAGCACAACCUCACCUGUGCGAAUUUACAGUUAUUUUAUCAUGUUGACAUACUGAAUUUACACAAUGGACCCAAAUUCACACACAAAACAUAAAAUCCGAGUGGAAAAAAGUAACAUUUUUACUGUGAAAACCACAAAUAUGUGUGAUGAACUGUUUUUAAAACUUAAACUUCAAAUAAAAAUUGUAAACUUCAAAACAUAUGCAAAUUUUUAACAAAGAACAUAGUGAUUUACCUCUAUUUACAUCAAAAUGCAGGCAAUGGCCCAGGCGUUCUUUGUAAAAUUAUUUACAAAACACUGUAUAGUCUCACAAAUGUCACUUUUUAUUUAUGCCACUACAAAAAAACAUGAUGUAAAUGAUGCAUGAUGUAAAACAUGAUGUAAAAAACUUGUGUAGAUCCUCCUCUAUGUCAGUCCAUGUGUAAUUUUUCCAUAAUUCUUUGUUUUUUGCAGCAUUUUUGUUAGUGUAACUGCAGAUUGUGCUGACAGUGUCUAUGGCACAAAAAAAAAAAAUUAAUUAAAAUGCCUCAACAUGAACCCCUGGUGGUCUCUGAGGGUGAAACCUGCUAACUGCUGCAGCUCUGUCAGCUUCAGUCUCCCAUGCAGAGCUCUGAGCGCAUGUGUGGCUCUGCACCCUUAGCAGCGUUGCUAACUCCUCAGUAAGGAAAGCCUGCUUCAUGUCAGAGUCUCUAAACUCCAGAAGAAGUCGAUAAAAGUCCCUUUCUUUCUAAAAAAAAGUCGUUAGGGGGUCUGAAAAGUCAUUGAAUCUAACAACAAAGUCGCUAGGUUUGCAACUACGUGUCCCAGACUGCAUCCCUGCUGAGAGUCCCUCCCUCCCUUCUCAUGUCGCAGGAAGAACGUAAGCGCCCCCCUUGUCAAUCAGUCACCAUAUAAUUUUGGAUUGGUUGUUGUGGUGAAGUUUUCCACCAAUAGGAGAGAUGUUGUGGUGUGUUUUUUUUUUCUUUUGGCAAGCCUUUUCCGCCUGUAAGAGCUGUCGCUAAUGUCUGCAUGCUAUGUUUUCCUGUCUCAUACAGCGCGAUCGAGCGCCGAACGUGAUCAAAAUAAGCAGAAAACAAGUAUCGCGGACAUAAUUUAUCAUAACUCUGGUUUUAUUUGGCCUAUCAACACAAUUUAAAAACUGGUAUAUAGCUUGAGGUCCUCACUUUUGAGAUAAGUUGAAACGGAGAGUCAACGAGGCUCCGUCUUGCAGCUACAUCCGGUUAAAUAUGUCAUGUGACUUGAACGCACACACAGACACACACACACGCACACACACACACACACACACACACACACACACACACACACACACACACACACACACUCAGAGUCUGGUUUUUAGCACCUGCAAAAACAUGCUAUUUACAUAUUUGACAAGAAUGCAGAGGCUCCUUUUGCCCCUGAAAAAAAUCAAAUUUCAAACACAACUUGACUGGUCAUUUCUCCAAAAGACAACCAUGAAGCUCCAUCCAAACCUGAAGCAGGCAGUUGGUGCAUGUGUACAGUAACCUGAGGGGAGUGAGGUGAGUGCUUCUGAGGAGAACAUGAGCAGUGAAGAUUCACCUUGGAGCUAGAACAGAGACAUGCACAUGAUUAUACAGGGGCAGGGGCUCAAGUUUUUUCCAGUCGUUUAUACAAUAUGGAAAUUAAUGUGAAAUUAAAACACAAAGUAUUAAUAGAAAGGUAAUGACUGUCCUGUGUAGGUGACAGUAAUAUCCAAUAGGCUAGGCACUCACGAGGCUGGCUGUGGCAAGUGUAAGUGAAAGCAACACGCACUGGCAGGAAGAACAGCAAACGCCGAUGAAGGAAAAGGGUCUUUGCAGUGAUGGGCGUUAACAGAGAGGGCGAUGGCCAGAGGACACAAAUGGGACGGGGAGGCAGCACGUUGGGGGGGGGGGGGGGAUGCGACACGGCUCGGGCCCGCCAGUGCCCCAACGGGGUCCUAGUUAGGGCCCGAGCGUAGCUGCUAAGCAGCUGCGAGAGCCCUCUUGUUCCUGUAGUUUCCUUCUUUUGUUAUUAUUAUUUUUCCUCCCCUUUGAACUGGAAAAUGGCCCACUUCCCACUGGCGAAAACUCAGGAAAUUUGGCAGGACGACCGGGCCUGGUGAAAAAUUUGAUAUUCCGAAGUCGCCCAAACAAGAAAAUGCAAAAUGGCUCCAUAGCGCCCCCUAAGGUGAAAAUUCACACUAUUGACUGUCACGCCUGUACGCUUUGUCAAAAUGACACAAAAAUUGACACACACAUGUAUCUCAAUAAGAUCUACAAAAAAGUCAGUGCGGGCAUAUCUGUCAAAUGUACGGUUAAAGGGUUAUUUCGCAUUUUUUGCCGAUCCGCACACAUUGGAAUUUCGCUAACUCCUCCGAAGGCUUUCGUUCCACCGGCACCACAUUUGCUCAGGCCAAUCUACACCCCAUGGCCAUUAAAAGUUAUUCAAAUCAUGACGCUGCACCCCACGGUUUAGGUUCUAGGGGGCGCCAAAGAUAACCCUAAGAUCCACAUAUUUAAAAGUCUUAUAACUUUUUAUUUUUGCCCUCACUGGCCUCCAAGUUUUCUAGGAUGAUGCAAUGUCCAGCCAUCAACACAUUUGUGAAGGAAUUUUUACUCCCCAAAAGAGCGCCCCCCCAUGGCAGGAGAAAAAAGUCCAUUUUUUCUUGUCCCCUAAGGUGAAAAUACACAUUGUUGAGUGUAACACCUGUACGCUUUGGCAAAAUGACACAAAAAUUGACACACACAUGUAUCUCAAUAAGAUCUACGAAAAAGUCAAUGCGCGCGUAUCUGUCAAAUGUACGGUUAAAGGGUUAUUCUGCAUUUUUUGCCGAUCCGCACACAUUGGAAUUUCGCUAACUCCUCCGAAGGCUUUCGUUCCACCGGCACCACAUUUGCUCAGGCCAAUCUACACCCCAUGGCCAUUAAAAGUUAUUCAAAUCAUGACGCUGCACCCCACGGUUUAGGUUCUAGGGGGCGCCAAAGAUAACCCUAAAAUCCACAUAUUUAAAAGUCUUAUAACUUUUUAUUUUUGUCCUCACUGGCCUCCAAGUUUUCUAGGAUGAUGCAAUGUCCAGCCAUCAACACAUUUGUGAAGGAAUUUUUACUCCCCAAAAGAGCGCCCCCCCAUGGCAGGAGAAAAAAGUCCAUUUUUUCUUGUCCCCUAAGGUGGAAAUUCACACUAUUGACUGUCACGCCUGUACGCUUUAUCAUAUUGACACAAAAAUUGACACACAUAUGUAUCUCAAUAAGAUCUACAAAAAAGUCAAUGCGCGCGUAUCUGUCAAAUGUACGGUUAAAGGGCUAUUUUGCAUUUUUUGCCGAUUCGCACACAUUGGAAUGUGGCUAACUCCUCCUAAGGCUUUCGUUCCACCGGCACCACAUUUGCUCAGGCCAAUCUACACCCCAUGGCCAUUAAAAGUUAUUCAAAUCAUGACGCUGCACCCCACGGUUUAGGUUCUAGGGGGCGCCAAAGAUAACCCUAAAAUCCACAUAUUUAAAAGUCUUAUAACUUUUUAUUUUUGUCCUCACUGGCCUCCAAGUUUUCUAGGAUGAUGCAAUGUCCAGCCAUCAACACAUUUGUGAAGGAAUUUUUACUCCCCAAAAGAGCGCCCCCCCAUGGCAGGAGAAAAAAGUCCAUUUUUUCUUGUCCCCUAAGGUGAAAAUACAUAUUGUUGAGAUUCACGCCUAUACGCUUUGUCAUAUUGACACAAAAUUUGACAAUCACGUGCCUUGCCUGGUAUCAUUUUUUUUCAGCACAACCUCACCUGUGCGAAUUUACAGUUAUUUUAUCAUGUUGACAUACUGAAUUUACACAAUGGACCCAAAUUCACACACAAAACAUAAAAUCCGAGUGGAAAAAAGUAACAUUUUUACUGUGAAAACCACAAAUAUGUGUGAUGAACUGUUUUUAAAACUUAAACUUCAAAUAAAAAUUGUAAACUUCAAAACAUAUGCAAAUUUUUAACAAAGAACAUAGUGAUUUACCUCUAUUUACAUCAAAAUGCAGGCAAUGGCCCAGGCGUUCUUUGUAAAAUUAUUUACAAAACACUGUAUAGUCUCACAAAUGUCACUUUUUAUUUAUGCCACUACAAAAAAACAUGAUGUAAAUGAUGCAUGAUGUAAAACAUGAUGUAAAAAACUUGUGUAGAUCCUCCUCUAUGUCAGUCCAUGUGUAAUUUUUCCAUAAUUCUUUGUUUUUUGCAGCAUUUUUGUUAGUGUAACUGCAGAUUGUGCUGACAGUGUCUAUGGCACAAAAAAAAAAAAAAAAUUAAAAUGCCUCAACAUGAACCCCUGGUGGUCUCUGAGGGUGAAACCUGCUAACUGCUGCAGCUCUGUCAGCUUCAGUCUCCCAUGCAGAGCUCUGAGCGCAUGUGUGGCUCUGCACCCUUAGCAGCGUUGCUAACUCCUCAGUAAGGAAAGCCUGCUUCAUGUCAGAGUCUCUAAACUCCAGAAGAAGUCGAUAAAAGUCCCUUUCUUUCUAAAAAAAAGUCGUUAGGGGGUCUGAAAAGUCAUUGAAUCUAACAACAAAGUCGCUAGGUUUGCAACUACGUGUCCCAGACUGCAUCCCUGCUGAGAGUCCCUCCCUCCCUUCUCAUGUUGCAGGAAGAACGUAAGCGCCCUCCCCUUGUCAAUCAGUCACCAUAUAAUUUUGGAUUGGUUGUUGUGGUGAAGUUUUCCACCAAUAGGAGAGAUGUUGUGGUGUGUUUUUUUUUUCUUUAGGCAAGCCUUUUCCGCCUGUAAGACCUGUCGCUAAUGUCUGCAUGCUAUGUUUUCCUGUCUCAUACAGCGCGAUCGAGCGCCGAACGUGAUCAAAAUAAGCAGAAAAAAAGUAUCGCGGACAUAAUUUAUCAUAACUCUGGUUUUAUUUGGCCUAUCAACACAAUUUAAAAACUGGUAUAUAGGUUGAGGUCCUCACUUUUGAGAUAAGUUGAAACGGAGAGUCAACGAGGCUCCGUCUUGCAGCUACAUCCGGUUAAAUAUGUCAUGUGACUUGAACGCACACACAGACACACACACACGCACACACACACACACACACACACUCAGAGUCUGGUUUUUAGCACCUGCAAAAACAUGCUAUUUACAUAUUUGACAAGAAUGCAGAGGCUCCUUUUGCCCCUGAAAAAAAUCAAAUUUCAAACACAACUUGACUGGUCAUUUCUCCAAAAGACAACCAUGAAGCUCCAUCCAAACCUGAAGCAGGCAGUUGGUGCAUGUGUACAGUAACCUGAGGGGAGUGAGGUGAGUGCCUCUGAGGAGAACAUGAGCAGUGAAGAUUCACCUUAGAGCUAGAACAGAGACAUGCACAUGAUUAUACAGGGGCAGGGGCUCAAGUUUUUUCCAGUCAUUUAUACAAUAUGGAAAUUAAUGUGAAAUUAAAACACAAAGUAUUAAUAGAAAGGUAAUGACUGUCCUGUGUAGGUGACAGUGAUAUCCAAUAGGCUAGGCACUCACGAGGCUGGCUGUGGCAAGUGUAAGUGAAAGCAACACGCACUGGCAGGAAGAACAGCAAACGCCGAUGAAGGAAAAGGGUCUUUGCAGUGAUGGGCGUUACCAGAGAGGGCGAUGGCCAGAGGACGCGAAUGGGACGGGGAGGCAGCAUGUUGGGGGGGGGACGCGACACGGCUCGGGCCCGCCAGUGCCCCAGCGGGGUCCUAGUUAUUAUUUUUCCUCCGCUUUAAACUGGAAAAUGGCCCACUUCCCACUGGCGAAAACUCAGGAAAUUUGGCAGGACGACCGGGCCUGGUGAAAAAUUCGAUAUUCUGAAGUCGCCCAAACAAUAAAAUGCAAAAUGGCUCCAUAGCGCCCCCUAAGGUGAAAAUUCACACUAUUGACUGUCACGCCUGUACGCUUUGUCAUAUUGACACAAAAAUUGACACACACAUGUAUCUCAAUAAGAUCUACAAAAAAGUCAGUGCGGGCAUAUCUGUCAAAUGUACGGUUAAAGGGUUAUUGCGCAUUUUUUGCCGAUCCGCACACAUUGGAAUUUCGCUAACUCCUCCGAAGGCUUUCGUUCCACCGGCACCACAUUUGCUCAGGCCAAUCUACACUCCAUGGCCAUUCAAAGUUGUACAAAUCAUGACGCUGCACCCCACGGUUUAGGUUCUAGGGGGCGCCAAAAAUAACCCAAAAAUCCACAUUCUUAAAAGUUUUAUAACUUUUUUUUUUUGUCCUCACUGGCCUCCAAGUUUUCUAGGAUGAUGCAAUGUCCAGCCAUCAACACAUUUGUGAAGGAAUUUUUACUCCCCAAAAGAGCGCCCUCCCAUGGCAGGACAAAAAAGUCAAUUUUUUCUUGUCCCCUAAGGUGAAAAUACACAUUGUUGAGAUUCACGCCUGUACGCUUUGUCAUAUUGACAAAAAAUUUGACACACACGUGUAUCUCAAUAAGAUCUACGAAAAAGUCAAUGCACGCGUAUCUGUAAACUGUACGGCUAAAGGGCUAUUUUGCAUUUUUUGCCGAUUCGCACACAUUGGAAUGUGGCUGACUCCUCCUAAGGAUUUCGUCCCACUGACAACAAAUUUGCUCAGGCCAAUCUACACCCCAUGGCCAUUAAAAGUUGUAAAAAUCAUGACGCUGCACCCCAUGGUUUACGUUCUAGGGGGCGCCAAAGAGGACCCAAAAAUCCACAUUCUUAAAAGUCUUAGAACUUUUUAUUUUUGUCCUCACUGGCCUCCAAGUUUUCUAGGAUGAUGCAAUGUCUAGCCAUCAACACAUUUGUGAAGGAAUUUUUACUCCCCAAAACAGCGCCCCCCCAUGGCCGGAGAAAAAGUCAAGUUUUUCCUGCCCAUCGCUCAAUGGCUCAAUCGCAUCGCUCUCCAGGCAACACCGUAAGGAGGAGCAACCUGCCAUUUGGAUAUAUCCUAGCUGUGUUUGUGCCCUCACUCAUGGUCCAGACUUUUUUCAAAUAGGACAUGUAGUUUGUCUGCAGCGAGCGUUUUGGUAGAAACUGCGCCUCCCAUUCAUUAUAAUGGUAAAUGACCACAGACAAGUGCGAACACCAUCUUUGGACCUUGAGUGUGACGCGAUCGGGAGGGAGAGGCGGUCGUGUUGGGGGCAGCGCGACACAGCUCGGGCCCGCCAGUGCCCCAACGGGGCCCUAGUGUUAUUAUUAGGGCCCGAGCGUAGCUGCUAAGCAGCUGCGAGAGCCCUCUUGUUCCUGAUGGAUUCUUCUUUCGUUAUUUUUCCUCCGCUUUAAACUGGAAAAUGGCCCACUUCCCACUGGCGAAAACUCAGGAAAUUUGGCAGGACGACCGGGCCUGGUGAAAAAUUUGAUAUUCUGAAGUCGCCCAAACAAAAAAAUGAAAAAUGGCUCCAUAGCGCCCCCUAUGGUGAAAACUCACCUGACGCCUGUACGCUUUGUCAAAAUGACACAAAAUUUGACACACAUGUGUAUCUCAAUAAGAUCUACAAAAAAGUCAAUGCGCGCGUAUCUGUCAAAUGUACCGUUAAAGGGCUAUUUCGCAUUUUUUGCCGAUCCGCACACAUUGGAAUUUCGCUAACUCCUCCGAAGGCUUUCGUUCCACCGGCACCAAAUUUGCUCAGGCCAAUCUACACCCCAUGGCCAUUAAAAGUUGUACAAAUCAUGACGCUGUACCCCACGGUUUAUGUUCUAGGGGGCGCCAAAGAUAACCCAAAAAUCCACAUUCUUAAAAGUCUUAUAACUUUUUAUUUUUGUCCUCACUGGCCUCCAAGUUUUCUAGGAUGAUGCAAUGUCCAGCCAUCAACACAUUUGUGAAGGAAUUUUUACUCCCCAAAAGAGCGCCCCCCCAUGGCAGGAGAAAAAAGUCCAUUUUUUCUUGUCCCCUAAGGUGCAAAUACACAUUGUUGAGUGUCACGCCUGUACGCUUUGUCAUAUUGACACAAAAUUUGACAAUCACGUGUGUCUCAAUAACGUCUACGAAAAAGUCAAUGCACGCGUAUCUGUAAAAUGUACGGUUAAAGGGCUAUUUUGCAUUUUUUGCCGAUUCGCACACAUUGGAAUGUGGCUAACUCCUCCUAAGGCUUUCGUCCCACCGACACCAAAUUUGCUCAGGCCAAUCUACACCCCAUGGCCAUUCAAAGUUGUAAAAAUCAUGACGCUGCACCCCACGGUUUACGUUCUAGGGGGCGCCAAAUAUGACCCAAAAAUCCACAUUCUUAAAAGAAUCCACAUCCCCCCCCCCCAUCCCCCAUCCCCCAUCCUCCAUGGCAGGAGAAACAGUCAAGAUUUUCCUGCCCAUCACUCAAUGGCUCAAUCGCAUCGCUCUCCCGGCAACACCGUAACGAGGAGCAACUUGCCGUUUGGAUAUAUCCUAGCUGUGUUUGUGCCCUCACUCAUGGUCCAGACUUUUUUCAAAUAGGACAUGUAGUUUGUCUGCAGCGAGUGUUUUGGUAGAAACUGCGCCUCCCAUUCAUUAUAAUGGGAAAUGACCACAGACAAGUGCGCACACCAUCUUUGGACCUUGAGUGUGACGCGAUCGGGAGGGGGAGGCGGUCGCGCUGGGGGCGGCGCGACGCGGCUCGGGCCCGACAGUGCCCCACCGGGGCCCUAGUUAUUAUUUUUCCUCCCCUUUGAACUGGAAAAUGGCCCACUUCCCACUGGCGAAAACUCAUGAAAUUUGGCAGGACGACCGGGCCUGGUGAAAAAUUUGAUAUUCCGAAGUCGCCCAAACAAGAAAAUGCAAAAUGGCUCCAUAGCGCCCCCUAAGGUGAAAAAUUCACCUGACGCCUGUACGCUUUGUCAAAAUGACACAAAAAUUGACACACACAUGUAUCUCAAUAAGAUCUACAAAAAAGUCAGUGCGGGCGUAUCUGUCAAAUGUACGGUUAAAGGGUUAUUGCGCAUUUUUUGCCGAUCCGCACACAUUGGAAUUUCGCUAACUCCUCCGAAGGCUUUCGUUCCACCGGCACCACAUUUGCUCAGGCCAAUCUACACCCCAUGGCCAUUAAAAGUUAUUCAAAUCAUGACGCUGCACCCCACGGUUUAGGUUCUAGGGGGCGCCAAAGAUAACACUAAAAUCCACAUAUUUCAAAGUCUUAUAACUUUUUAUUUUUGUCCUCACUGGCCUCCAAGUUUUCUAGGAUGAUGCAAUGUCCAGCCAUCAACACAUUUGUGAAGGAAUUUUUACUCCCCAAAAGAGCGCCCCCCAUGGCAGGAGAAAAAAGUCCAUUUUUUCUUGUCCCCUAAGGUGAAAAUACACAUUGUUGAGUGUCACGCAUGUACGCUUUGUCAAAAUGACACAAAAAUUGACACACACAUGUAACUCAAUAAGAUCUACAAAAAAGUCCAUGCGCGCAUAUCUGUCAAAUGUACAGUUAAAGGGUUAUUCCGCAUUUUUUGCCGAUACGCACACAUUGGAAUUUCGCUAACUCCUCCGAAGGCUUUCGUUCCACCGGCACCACAUUUGCUCAGGCCAAUCUACACCCCAUGGCCAUUAAAAGUUAUUCAAAUCAUGAUGCUGCACCCCAUGGUUUAGGUUCUAGGGGGCGCCAAAAAUAACCCAAAAAUCCACAUUCUUAAAUGUUUUAUAACUUUUUAUUUUUGUCCUCACUGGCCUCCAAGUUUUCUAGGAUGAUGCAAUGUCCAGCCAUCAACACAUUUGUGAAGGAAUUUUUACUCCCCAAAAGAGCGCCCCCCCAUGGUAGGAGAAAAAAGUCAAUUUUUUCUUGUCCCCUUACAUGAAAAUACACAUUGUUGAGUGUCACGCCUGAACGCUUUGUCAUAUUGACACAAAAAUUGACAAUCAUGUGUAUCUCAAUUAGAUCUACGAAAAAGUCAAAGAGCGCGUAUCUUUAUAAUGUACGUUUAAAGGGCUAUUUUGCAUUUUUUGCCGAUUCGCACACAUUGGAAUGUGGCUAUCUCCUCCUAAGGCUUUCGUCCCACCGAUACCAAAUUUGCUCAGGGAAAUCUACACCCCAUGCCCAUUCAAAGUUGUAAAAAUCAUGACGCUGCACCCCACGGUUUACGUUCUAGGGGGCGCCAAAGAUGACCCAAAAAUCCACAUUCUUAAAGGAAUCCACACACCCCCCCCCCACACCCCCCCCAAGGCAGGAGAAAAAGUCAAGUUAACCCUGCCCAUCGCUCAAUGGCUCAAUCGCAUCGCUCUCCAGGCAACACCGUAAGGAGGAGCAACCUGCCAUUUCGAUAUAUCAUAGCUGUGUUUGUGCCCUCACUCAUGGUCCAGACUUUUUUCAAAUAGGACAUGAAGUUUGUCUGCAGCGAGUGUUUUGGUAGAAACUGCGCCUCCUAUUCAUUAUAAUGGGAAAUGACCACAGACAAGUGCGCACACCAUCUUUGGACCUUGAGUGUGACGCGAUCGGGAGGGGGAGGCGGUCGCGCUGGGGGCGGCGCGACGCGGCUCGGGCCCGACAGUGCCCCAGCGGGGCCCUAGUUAGGGCCCGAGCGUAGCUGCUAAGCAGCUGCGAGAGCCCUAUUAUUCCCCAAGGGGUUUUUCUUUGUUUCUUUCUUUCUUCUUUUUCCUCCCCUUUGAACUGGAAAAUGGCCCACUUCCCACUGGCGAAAACUCAUGAAAUUUGGCAGGAUGACCGGGCCUGGUGAAAAAUUUGAUAUUCCGAAGUCGCCCAAACAAUAAAAUGCAAAAUGGCUCCAUAGCGCCCCCUAAGGUGAAAAUUCACACUAUUGACUGUCACGCCUUUACGCUUUGUCAUAUUGACACAAAAAUUGACACACAUAUGUAUCUUAAUAAGAUCUACAAAAAAGUCAGUGCGGCCGUAUCUGUCAAAUGUACGGUUAAAGGGUUAUUGCGCAUUUUUUGCCGACCCGCACACAUUGGAAUUUCGCUAACUCCUCCGAAGGCUUUCGUUCCACCGGCACCACAUUUGCUCAGGCCAAUCUACACCCCGUGGCCAUUAAAAGUUAUCAAAAUCAUGACGCUGCACCCCAAGGUUUAGGUUCUAGGGGGCGCCAAAGAUAACACUAAAAUCCACAUAUUUAAAAGUCUUAUAACUUUUUAUUUUUGUCCUCACUGGCCUCCAAGUUUUCUAGGAUGAUGCAAUGUCCAGCCAUCAACACAUUUGUGAAGGAAUUUUUACUCCCCAAAAGAGCGCCCCCCCAUGGCAGAAGAAAAAAGUCCAUUUUUUCUUGUCCCCUAAGGUGAAAAUACACAUUGUUGAGUGUCACGCCUAUACGCUUUGUCAAAAUGACACAAAAAUUGACACACACAUGUAACUCAAUAAGAUCUACGAAAAAGUCAAUGCGCGCGUAUCUGUCAAAUGUACGGUUAAAGGGUUAUUCCGCAUUUUUUGCCGAUCCGCACACAUUGGAAUGUGGCUAACUCCUCCUAAGGCUUUCGUUCCACCGGCACCACAUUUGCUCAGGCCAAUCUACACCCCAUGGCCAUUAAAAGUUAUUCAAAUCAUGACGCUGCACCCCACGGUUUAGGUUCUAGGGGGCGCCAAAGAUAACCCUAAAAUCCACAUAUUUAAAAGUCUUAUAACUUUUUAUUUUUGUCCUCACUGGCCUCCAAGUUUUCUAGGAUGAUGCAAUGUCCAGCCAUCAACACAUUUGUGAAGGAAUUUUUACUCCCCAAAAGAGCGCCCCCCCAUGGCAGGAGAAAAAAGUCCAUUUUUUCUUGUCCCCUAAGGUGAAAAUACAUAUUGUUGAGAUUCACGCCUAUACGCUUUGUCAUAUUGACACAAAAUUUGACAAUCACGUGCCUUGCCUGGUAUCAUUUUUUUCAGCACAACCUCACCUGUGCGAAUUUACAGUUAUUUUAUCAUGUUGACAUACUGAAUUUACACAAUGGACCCAAAUUCACACACAAAACAUAAAAUCCAAGUGGAAAAAAGUAACAUUUUUACUGUGAAAACCACAAAUAUGUGUGAUGAACUGUUUUUAAAACUUAAACUUCAAAUAAAAAUUGUAAACUUCAAAACAUAUGCAAAUUUUUAACAAAGAACAUAGUGAUUUACCUCUAUUUACAUCAAAAUGCAGGCAAUGGCCCAGGCGUUCUUUGUAAAAUUAUUUACAAAACACUGUAUAGUCUCACAAAUGUCACUUUUUAUUUAUGCCACUACAAAAAAACAUGAUGUAAAUGAUGCAUGAUGUAAAACAUGAUGUAAAAAACUUGUGUAGAUCCUCCUCUAUGUCAGUCCAUGUGUAAUUUUUCCAUAAUUCUUUGUUUUUUGCAGCAUUUUUGUUAGUGUAACUGCAGAUUGUGCUGACAGUGUCUAUGGCACAAAAAAAAAAAAAAAAUUAAAAUGCCUCAACAUGAACCCCUGGUGGUCUCUGAGGGUGAAACCUGCUAACUGCUGCAGCUCUGUCAGCUUCAGUCUCCCAUGCAGAGCUCUGAGCGCAUGUGUGGCUCUGCACCCUUAGCAGCGUUGCUAACUCCUCAGUAAGGAAAGCCUGCUUCAUGUCAGAGUCUCUAAACUCCAGAAGAAGUCGAUAAAAGUCCCUUUCUUUCUAAAAAAAGUCGUUAGGGGGUCUGAAAAGUCAUUGAAUCUAACAACAAAGUCGCUAGGUUUGCAACUACGUGUCCCAGACUGCAUCCCUGCUGAGAGUCCCUCCCUCGCUUCUCAUGUUGCAGGAAGAACGUAAGCGCCCGCCCCUUGUCAAUCAGUCACCAUAUAAUUUUGGAUUGGUUGUUGUGGUGAAGUUUUCCACCAAUAGGAGAGAUGUUGUGGUGUGUUUUUUUUUCUUUUGGCAAGCCUUUUCCGCCUGUAAGACCUGUCGCUAAUGUCUGCAUGCUAUGUUUUCCUGUCUCAUACAGCGCGAUCGAGCGCCGAACGUGAUCAAAAUAAGCAGAAAAAAAGUAUCGCAGACAUAAUUUAUCAUAACUCUGGUUUUAUUUGGCCUAUCAACACAAUUUAAAAACUGGUAUAUAGGUUGAGGUCCUCACAUUUGAGAUAAGUUGAAACGGAGAGUCAACGAGGCUCCGUCUUGCAGCUACAUCCGGUUAAAUAUGUCAUGUGACUUGAACGCACACACAGACACACACACACACACACACACACACACACACACACACACACACACACACUCAGAGUCUGGUUUUUAGCACCUGCAAAAACAUGCUAUUUACAUAUUUGACAAGAAUGCAGAGGCUCCUUUUGCCCCUGAAAAAAAUCAAAUUUCAAACACAACUUGACUGCUCAUUUCUCCAAAAGACAACCAUGAAGCUCCAUCCAAACCUGAAGCAGGCAGUUGGUGCAUGUGUACAGUAACCUGAGGGGAGUGAGGUGAGUGCUUCUGAGGAGAACAUGAGCAGUGAAGAUUCACCUUGGAGCUAGAACAGAGACAUGCACAUGAUUAUACAGGGGCAGGGGCUCAAGUUUUUUCCAGUCGUUUAUACAAUAUGGAAAUUAAUGUGAAAUUAAAACACAAAGUAUUAAUAGAAAGGUAAUGACUGUCCUGUGUAGGUGACAGUGAUAUCGAAUAGGCUAGGCACUCACGAGGCUGGCUGUGGCAAGUGUAAGUGAAAGCAACACGCACUGGCAGGAAGAACAGCAAACGCCGAUGAAGGAAAAGGGUCUUUGCAGUGAUGGGCGUUACCAGAGAGGGCGAUGGCCAGAGGACACAAAUGGGACGAGGAGGCAGCGCGUUGGGGGGGGGACGCGACACAGCUCGGGCCCGCCAGUGCCCCAACGGGGUCCUAGUUUCUUUUUCCUCCCCUUUGAACUGGAAAAUGGCCCACUUCCCACUGGCGAAAACUCAUGAAAUUUGGCAGGACGACCGGGCCUGGUGAAAAAUUUGAUAUUCUGAAGUCGCCCAAACAAUACAAUGCAAAAUGGCUCCAUAGCGCCCCCUAAGGUGAAAAAUUCACCUGACGCCUGUACGCUUUGUCAAAAUGACACAAAAAUUGACACACACAUGUAUCUCAAUAAGAUCUACAAAAAAGUCAGUGCGGGCGUAUCUGUCAAAUGUACGGUUAAAGGGUUAUUGCGCAUUUUUUGCCGAUCCGCACACAUUGGAAUUUCGCUAACUCCUCCGAAGGCUUUCGUUCCACCGGCACCACAUUUGCUCAGGCCAAUCUACACCCCAUGGCCAUAAAAAGUUAUUCAAAUCAUGACGCUGCACCCCACGGUUUAGGUUCUAGGGGGCGCCAAAGAUAACCCUAAAAUCCACAUAUUUCAAAGUCUUAUAACUUUUUAUUUUUGUCCUCACUGGCCUCCAAGUUUUCUAGGAUGAUGCAAUGUCCAGCCAUCAACACAUUUGUGAAGGAAUUUUUACUCCCCAAAAGAGCGCCCCCCCAUGGCAGGAGAAAAAAGUCCAUUUUUUCUUGUCCCCUAAGGUGAAAAUACACAUUGUUGAGUGUCACGCCUAUACGCUUUGUCAAAAUGACACAAAAUUUGACACACACAUGUAACUCAAUAAGAUCUACAAAAAAGUCAAUGCGCGCGUAUCUGUCAAAUGUACAGUUAAAGGGUUAUUCCGCAUUUUUUGCCGAUACGCACACAUUGGAAUUUCGCUAACUCCUCCGAAGGCUUUCGUUCCACCGGCACCACAUUUGCUCAGGCCAAUCUACACCCCAUGGCCAUUAAAAGUUAUUCAAAUCAUGAUGCUGCACCCCAUGGUUUAGGUUCUAGGGGGCGCCAAAAAUAACCCAAAAAUCCACAUUCUUAAAUGUUUUAUAACUUUUUAUUUUUGUCCUCACUGGCCUCCAAGUUUUCUAGGAUGAUGCAAUGUCCAGCCAUCAACACAUUUGUGAAGGAAUUUUUACUCCCCAAAAGAGCGCCCCCCCAUGGUAGGAGAAAAAAGUCAAUUUUUUCUUGUCCCCUUACAUGAAAAUACACAUUGUUGAGUGUCACGCCUGAACGCUUUGUCAUAUUGACACAAAAAUUGACAAUCAUGUGUAUCUCAAUUAGAUCUACGAAAAAGUCAAAGAGCGCGUAUCUGUAUAAUGUACGGUUAAAGGGCUAUUUUGCAUUUUUUGCGGAUUCGCACACAUUGGAAUGUGGCUAUCUCCUCCUAAGGCUUUCGUCCCACCGAUACCAAAUUUGCUCAGGGCAAUCUACACCCCAUGCCCAUUCAAAGUUGUAAAAAUCAUGACGCUGCACCCCACGGUUUACGUUCUAGGGGGCGCCAAAGAUGACCCAAAAAUCCACAUUCUUAAAAGUCAUUUUGGCCACUGCAGGAGUACAGAGUACUGCAGUUCUAGGGGGCGCCAAAGAUGACCCAAAAAUCCACAUUCUUAAAAGUCUUUUUGGCCACUGCAGGAGUACAGAGUACUGCAGGAUACACACACAUAUACACACACGCCAACAUACACACACACACACACACACACAGACACACACACACACUCAGAGUCUGUUUUUUAGCACCUGCAAAAACAUGCUGUUUACAUAUUUGACAAGAAUGCAGAGGCUUCCUUUUGCCCCUGAAAAAAAUCAAAUUUCAAACACAACUUGACUGUUCAUUUCUCCAAAAGACAACCAUGAAGCUCCAUUUCAAACCUGAAGCAGAUAGUUGGUGCAUGUGUACAGUAACCUGAGGGGAGUGAGGUGACUAUUUCUGAGGAGAACAUGAGCAGUGAAGAUUCACCUUGGAGCUAGAACAGGGACGUGCACAUGAUUAUACAGGGGCAGGGGCUCAAGUUUUUUCCAGUCAUUUAUACAAUAUGGAAAUUAAUGUGAAAUUAAACCACAAAUAUGUGUGAUGAACUGUUUUUAAAACUUAAACUUCAAAUAAAAAUUGUAAACUUCAAAACAUAUGCAAAUUUUUAACAAAGAACAUAGUAAUUUACCUCUAUUUACAUCAAAAUGCAGGCAAUGGCCCAGGCGUUCUUUGUAAAAUUAUUUACAAAACACUGUAUAGUCUCACAAAUGUCACUUUUUAUUUAUGCCACUACAAAAAAACAUGAUGUAAAUGAUGCAUGAUGUAAAACAUGAUGUAAAAAACUUGUGUAGAUCCUCCUCUAUGUCAGUCCAUGUGUAAUUUUUCCAUAAUUCUUUGUUUUUUGCAGCAUUUUUGUUAGUGUAACUGCAGAUUGUGCUGACAGUGUCUAUGGCACAAAAAAAAAAAAAAAUUAAAAUGCCUCAACAUGAACCCCUGGUGGUCUCUGAGGGUGAAACCUGCUAACUGCUGCAGCUCUGUCAGCUUCAGUCUCCCAUGCAGAGCUCUGAGCGCAUGUGUGGCUCUGCACCCUUAGCAGCGUUGCUAACUCCUCAGUAAGGAAAGCCUGCUUCAUGUCAGAGUCUCUAAACUCCAGAAGAAGUCGAUAAAAGUCCCUUUCUUUCUAAAAAAAAGUCGUUAGGGGGUCUGAAAAGUCAUUGAAUCUAACAACAAAGUCGCUAGGUUUGCAACUACGUGUCCCAGACUGCAUCCCUGCUGAGAGUCCCUCCCUCCCUUCUCAUGUUGCAGGAAGAACGUAAGCGCCCGCCCCUUGUCAAUCAGUCACCAUAUAAUUUUGGAUUGGUUGUUGUGGUGAAGUUUUCCACCAAUAGGAGAGAUGUUGUGGUGUGUUUUUUUUUUCUUUUGGCAAGCCUUUUCCGCCUGUAAGACCUAUCGCUAAUGUCUGCAUGCUAUGUUUUCCUGUCUCAUACAGCGCGAUCGAGCGCCGAACGUGAUCAAAAUAAGCAGAAAACAAGUAUCGCGGACAUAAUUUAUCAUAACUCUGGUUUUAUUUGGCCUAUCAACACAAUUUAAAAACUGGUAUAUAGGUUGAGGUCCUCACUUUUGAGAUAAGUUGAAACGGAGAGUCAACAAGGCUCCGUCUUGCAGCUACAUCCGGUUAAAUAUGUCAUGUGACUUGAACGCACACACAGACACACACACACGCACACACACACACACACACACACACACACACACUCAGAGUCUGGUUUUUAGCACCUGCAAAAACAUGCUAUUUACAUAUUUGACAAGAAUGCAGAGGCUCCUUUUGCCCCUGAAAAAAAUCAAAUUUCAAACACAACUUGACUGGUCAUUUCUCCAAAAGACAACCAUGAAGCUCCAUCCAAACCUGAAGCAGGCAGUUGGUGCAUGUGUACAGUAACCUGAGGGGAGUGAGGUGAGUGCUUCUGAGGAGAACAUGAGCAGUGAAGAUUCACCUUGGAGCUAGAACAGAGACAUGCACAUGAUUAUACAGGGGCAGGGGCUCAAGUUUUUUCCAGUCGUUUAUACAAUAUGGAAAUUAAUGUGAAAUUAAAACACAAAGUAUUAAUAGAAAGGUAAUGACUGUCCUGUGUAGGUGACAGUGAUAUCCAAUAGGCUAGGCACUCACGAGGCUGGCUGUGGCAAGUGUAAGUGAAAGCAACACACACUGGCAGGAAGAACAGCAAACGCCGAUUAAGGAAAAGGGUCUUUGCAGUGAUGGGUGUUAACAGAGAGGGCGAUGGCCAGAGGACACAAAUGGGACGGGGAGGCAGCACGUUGGGGGGGGGGGGGGGGGGGACGCGACACGGCUCGGGCCCGCCAGUGCCCCAACGGGGUCCUAGUCUUUGUUUCUUUCUUUUAGGGCCCGAGCGUAGCUGCUAAGCAGCUGCGAGAGCCCUCUUGUUCCUGUAGUUUCCUUCUUUUGUUAUUAUUAUUAUUAGGGCCCGAGCCAGCUGCAGAGCAGCCGGGCGUAGGCCCUAUUAUUCCCCAAGUGGUUUUUCUUUGUUUCUUUCUUUCUUUCUUUCUUUCUUUCUUUCUUUCUUCUUUUUCCUCCCCUUUGAACUGGAAAAUGGCCCACUUCCCACUGGCGAAAACUCAUGAAAUUUGGCAGGACGACCGGGCCUGGUGAAAAAUUCGAUAUUCUGAAGUCGCCCAAACAAUAAAAUGCAAAAUGGCUCCAUAGCGCCCCCUAAGGUGGAAAUUCACACUAUUGACUGUCACGCCUGUACGCUUUGUCAUAUUGACACAAAAAUUGACACACAUAUGUAUCUCAAUAAGAUCUACAAAAAAGUCAGUGCGGCCGUAUCUGUCAAAAUUACGGUUAAAGGGUUAUUUCGCAUUUUUUGGUGAUCCGCACACAUUGGAAUUUCGCUAACUCCUCCGAAGGCUUUCGUUCCACCGGCACCACAUUUGCUCAGGCCAAUCUACACCCCGUGGCCAUUAAAAGUUAUCAAAAUCAUGACGCUGCACCGCAAGGUUUAGGUUCUAGGGGGCGCCAAAGAUAACACUAAAAUCCACAUAUUUAAAAGUCUUAUAACUUUUUAUUUUUGUCCUCACUGGCCUCCAAGUUUUCUAGGAUGAUGCAAUGUCCAGCCAUCAACACAUUUGUGAAGGAAUUUUUACUCCCCAAAAGAGCGCCCCCCCAUGGCAGGAGAAAAAAGUCCAUUUUUUCUUGUCCCCUAAGGUGAAAAUACACAUUGUUGAGUGUCACGCCUAUACGCUUUGUCAAAAUGACACAAAAAUUGACACACACAUGUAACUCAAUAAGAUCUACAAAAAAGUCCAUGCGCGCAUAUCUGUCAAAUGUACAGUUAAAGGGUUAUUCCGCAUUUUUUGCCGAUACGCACACAUUGGAAUUUCGCUAACUCCUCCGAAGGCUUUCGUUCCACCGGCACCACAUUUGCUCAGGCCAAUCUACACCCCAUGGCCAUUAAAAGUUAUUCAAAUCAUGAUGCUGCACCCCAUGGUUUAGGUUCUAGGGGUGCCAAAAAUAACCCAAAAAUCCACAUUCUUAAAUGUUUUAUAACUUUUUAUUUUUGUCCUCACUGGCCUCCAAGUUUUCUAGGAUGAUGCAAUGUCCAGCCAUCAACACAUUUGUGAAGGAAUUUUUACUCCCCAAAAGAGCGCCCCCCCAUGGUAGGAGAAAAAAGUCAAUUUUUUCUUGUCCCCUUACAUAAAAAUACACAUUGUUGAGUGUCACGCCUGAACGCUUUGUCAUAUUGACACAAAAAUUGACAAUCAUGUGUAUCUCAAUUAGAUCUACGAAAAAGUCAAAGAGCGCGUAUCUGUAUAAUGUACGGUUAAAGGGCUAUUUUGCAUUUUUUGCCGAUUCGCACACAUUGGAAUGUGGCUAUCUCCUCCUAAGGCUUUCGUCCCACCGAUACCAAAUUUGCUCAGGGCAAUCUACACCCCAUGCCCAUUCAAAGUUGUAAAAAUCAUGACGCUGCACCCCACGGUUUACGUUCUAGGGGGCGCCAAAGAUGACCCAAAAAUCCACAUUCUUAAAAGUCAUUUUGGCCACUGCAGGAGUACAGAGUACUGCAGUUCUAGGGGGCGCCAAAGAUGACCCAAAAAUCCACAUUCUUAAAAGUCUUUUUGGCCACUGCAGGAGUACAGAGUACUGCAGGAUACACACACAUAUACACACACGCCACACACACACACACACACACACACACACACACACACACACACACACACACACACACACACACAGACACACACACACACUCAGAGUCUGUUUUUUAGCACCUGCAAAAACAUGCUGUUUACAUAUUUGACAAGAAUGCAGAGGCUUCCUUUUGCCCCUGAAAAAAAUCAAAUUUCAAACACAACUUGACUGUUCAUUUCUCCAAAAGACAACCAUGAAGCUCCAUUUCAAACCUGAAGCAGAUAGUUGGUGCAUGUGUACAGUAACCUGAGGGGAGUGAGGUGACUAUUUCUGAGGAGAACAUGAGCAGUGAAGAUUCACCUUGGAGCUAGAACAGGGACGUGCACAUGAUUAUACAGGGGCAGGGGCUCAAGUUUUUUCCAGUCAUUUAUACAAUAUGGAAAUUAAUGUGAAAUUAAACCACAAAUAUGUGUGAUGAACUGUUUUUAAAACUUAAACUUCAAAUAAAAAUUGUAAACUUCAAAACAUAUGCAAAUUUUUAACAAAGAACAUAGUAAUUUACCUCUAUUUACAUCAAAAUGCAGGCAAUGGCCCAGGCGUUCUUUGUAAAAUUAUUUACAAAACACUGUAUAGUCUCACAAAUGUCACUUUUUAUUUAUGCCACUACAAAAAAACAUGAUGUAAAUGAUGCAUGAUGUAAAACAUGAUGUAAAAAACUUGUGUAGAUCCUCCUCUAUGUCAGUCCAUGUGUAAUUUUUCCAUAAUUCUUUGUUUUUUGCAGCAUUUUUGUUAGUGUAACUGCAGAUUGUGCUGACAGUGUCUAUGGCACAAAAAAAAAAAAAAUUAAAAUGCCUCAACAUGAACCCCUGGUGGUCUCUGAGGGUGAAACCUGCUAACUGCUGCAGCUCUGUCAGCUUCAGUCUCCCAUGCAGAGCUCUGAGCGCAUGUGUGGCUUGCACCCUUAGCAGCGUUGCUAACUCCUCAGUAAGGAAAGCCUGCUUCAUGUCAGAGUCUCUAAACUCCAGAAGAAGUCGAUAAAAGUCCCUUUCUUUCUAAAAAAAAGUCGUUAGGGGGUCUGAAAAGUCAUUGAAUCUAACAACAAAGUCGCUAGGUUUGCAACUACGUGUCCCAGACUGCAUCCCUGCUGAGAGUCCCUCCCUCCCUUCUCAUGUUGCAGGAAGAACGUAAGCGCCCGCCCCUUGUCAAUCAGUCACCAUAUAAUUUUGGAUUGGUUGUUGUGGUGAAGUUUUCCACCAAUAGGAGAGAUGUUGUGGUGUGUUUUUUUUUUCUUUUGGCAAGCCUUUUCCGCCUGUAAGACCUGUCGCUAAUGUCUGCAUGCUAUGUUUUCCUGUCUCAUACAGCGCGAUCGAGCGCCGAACGUGAUCAAAAUAAGCAGAAAACAAGUAUCGCGGACAUAAUUUAUCAUAACUCUGGUUUUAUUUGGCCUAUCAACACAAUUUAAAAACUGGUAUAUAGGUUGAGGUCCUCACUUUUGAGAUAAGUUGAAACGGAGAGUCAACGAGGCUCCGUCUUGCAGCUACAUCCGGUUAAAUAUGUCAUGUGACUUGAACGCACACAUAGACACACACACACGCACACACACACACACACACACACACACACACACACACACACACACACACACACACACACACACACACUCAGAGUCUGGUUUUUAGCACCUGCAAAAACAUGCUAUUUACAUAUUUGACAAGAAUGCAGAGGCUCGUUUUGCCCCUGAAAAAAAUCAAAUUUCAAACACAACUUGACUGGUCAUUUCUCCAAAAGACAACCAUGAAGCUCCAUCCAAACCUGAAGCAGGCAGUUGGUGCAUGUGUACAGUAACCUGAGGGGAGUGAGGUGAGUGCUUCUGAGGAGAACAUGAGCAGCGAAGAUUCACCUUGGAGCUAGAACAGAGACAUGCACAUGAUUAUACAGGGGCAGGGGCUCAAGUUUUUUCCAGUCGUCUAUACAAUAUGGAAAUUAAUGUGAAAUUAAAACACAAAGUAUUAAUAGAAAGGUAAUGACUGUCCUGUGUAGGUGACAGUGAUAUCCAAUAGGCUAGGCACUCACGAGGCUGGCUGUGGCAAGUGUAAGUGAAAGCAACACGCACUGGCAGGAAGAACAGCAAACGCCGAUGAAGGAAAAGGGUCUUUGCAGUGAUGGGCGUUAACAGAGAGGGCGAUGGCCAGAGGACACAAAUGGGACGGGAAGGCAGCACGUUGGGGGCGGGGGGGGGGAGACGCGACACGGCUCGGGCCCGCCAGUGCCCCAACGGGGUCCUAGUUAUUAUUUUUCCUCCCCUUUGAACUGGAAAAUGGCCCACUUCCCACUGGCGAAAACUCAUGAAAUUUAGCAGGACGACUGGGCCUGGUGAAAAAUUUGAUAUUCCGAAGUCGCCCAAACAAGAAAAUGCAAAAUGGCUCCAUAGCGCCCCCUAAGGUGAAAAUUCACACUAUUGACUGUCACGCCUGUACGCUUUGUCAAAAUGACACAAAAAUUGACACACACAUGUAUCUCAAUAAGAUCUACAAAAAAGUCAUUGCGGCCGUAUCUGUCAAAUGUACGGUUAAAGGGUUAUUUCGCAUUUUUUGCCGAUCCGCACACAUUGGAAUUUCGCUAACUCCUCCGAAGGCUUUCGUUCCACCGGCACCACAUUUGCUCAGGCCAAUCUACACCCCAUGGCCAUUAAAAGUUAUUCAAAUCAUGACGCUGCACCCCACGGUUUAGGUUCUAGGGGGCGCCAAAGAUAACCCUAAGAUCCACAUAUUUAAAAGUCUUAUAACUUUUUCUUUUUGCCCUCACUGGCCUCCAAGUUUUCUAGGAUGAUGCAAUGUCCAGCCAUCAACACAUUUGUGAAGGAAUUUUUACUCCCCAAAAGAGCGCCCCCCCAUGGCAGGAGAAAAAAGUCCAUUUUUUCUUGUCCCCUAAGGUGAAAAUACACAUUGUUGAGUGUAACACCUGUACGCUUUGGCAAAAUGACACAAAAAUUGACACACACAUGUAUCUCAAUAAGAUCUACGAAAAAGUCAAUGCGCGCGUAUCUGUCAAAUGUACGGUUAAAGGGUUAUUUCGCAUUUUUUGCCGAUCCGCACACAUUGGAAUGUGGCUAACUCCUCCGAAGGCUUUCGUUCCACCGGCACCACAUUUGCUCAGGCCAAUCUACACCCCAUGGCCAUUAAAAGUUAUUCAAAUCAUGACGCUGCACCCCACGGUUUAGGUUCUAGGGGGCGCCAAAGAUAACCCUAAAAUCCACAUAUUUAAAAGUCUUGUAACUUUUUAUUUUUGUCCCCACUGGCCUCCAAGUUUUCUAGGAUGAUGCAAUGUCCAGCCAUCAACACAUUUGUGAAGGAAUUUUUACUCGCCAAAAGAGCGCCCCCCCAUGGCAGGAGAAAAAAGUCCAUUUUUUCUUGUCCACUAAGGUGAAAAUACACAUUGUUGAGUGCUACGCUUGUAUGUUUUGUCGUAUUGACACAAAAUUUUACAUACACGUGUAUUUCAAUAAGAUCUUCGAAAAAGUCAAUGGC
rnacentral:lncRNA from 1 species